rnacentral:rRNA from 1 species
CAGUCGCCGCGGUAAUACGUAGGUGGCAAGCGUUGUCCGGAAUUAUUGGGCGUAAAGGGCUCGCAGGCGGUUUCUUAAGUCUGAUGUGAAAGCCCCCGGCUCAACCGGGGAGGGUCAUUGGAAACUGGAAAACUUGAGUGCAGAAGAGGAGAGUGGAAUUCCACGUGUAGCGGUGAAAUGCGUAGAGAUGUGGAGGAACACCAGUGGCGAAGGCGACUCUCUGGUCUGUAACUGACGCUGAGGAGCGAAAGCGUGGGGAGCGAACAGGAUUAGAUACCCCUGUAGUCCCUGUCUCUUAUAC